GAACUUUUUUGAUGACAAAUAUAACCCUUGUAUAGAACCUAGAGUACUAAUUUGUUGGUAGUUCAUUUAUUCAUUCUUCUAUCGGCGAUGAAACCUACCACGAAGAGCCAGAAAUCUUCCAUGUCUCUUUAAUCUGGAACGGAAGCGAAGAGAAAUCUUGUAUAUCUUCAUAUAUUCAUCGAUUUUCUUAUCUUAAAUCGUUAUUCUCAUUCAGUUUACAUAAAUCUAGAUUCUCGGUGUUAAUGAAGUUCGCUGAAAUGAAAAUCCCAGGAGCAAGUUUAGUUAUCACUAAGUGAUGGAGAUAAACGAAGAAGAUAUGAUUGAAUCUCUUAAUAAACUAAGGCUUCAGAAAGUUUAUAAGUGUUACCUUACAUGGAGAAAUCGUGCAGAUUGUGCAGUUGUAGUGCAGGAGCUUUGGUGGGAUAUUGGACUUUGCCAAGUGGUAUCCUUUUUCAACAUUGAGAAAACAGAAACAAUUGUUUCUUGAUGGGAACGGGUAUGGACAAAGGGUACUGCAGGUCGACGAAGUAGCUUGUUGGUUGAUUAAGAAGGUACUCAUUUUUGUUAAGGUCAUAGGAUGAUGCGGUUGAUCUUGUUGUACGAUGGACGUGGAUUGUAGCGCAAGAUCUGCUUGCUAGUAUCUCUACUAUAACACCACUCCUUGAAGCUUUUACUAGUCAAAAUAACGUUGCAUUGGAGUGUGGGAUUCUCAAUUGAUAAGAAAGUUUGUUAAUGGCAUAGAUGGAGACAGUGGCUUCACCGCUGUUUGUGGAGGAUAACAUGUCCCAGUAUGAUGAUAUGGACUACAUGGGGGGUGAUUAUGAAAUGGAUGAUGUAGAAGACGACAUGGAUGAAGAAUUCCACGGUAGAGGUUUGGGUGAUUCCGAGUCUAAUGAGGAUGAUGAUGACCAAUUGGCAAUUGAUGCUAUUGAUGAUACGGAUAUUCCUCCAAGAUAUGUGAAUAACAUAGGUCUUUCUGCAAGAGUUGGAAGGCUUAAUGUGGACUAGGUCGAUCCUGAUCAGUCAUCUGAAUGAGGCUUUCAUCGUGCAAUGGCUCUUGCUGGUGGUGAAUUUUUAGAGGUUAGAUUUUUCUUUGUUAGCUCUGUAUAUGAAUAUUUGUGAUUUUAGUUUCCACUUCUGCUGAAAAUAUGCUGUCAGCAAGCAAGCGAAGGGUUGUGAGGCAGAGAAGGAGAGUUUUACUUGAUAAACUUACCCGAAACACAAGUGUACAAAUUAGUGUACCUCUAAUACAAGUGUACAUAUUGGUGCACCUGUAAUAAGAUGAAUGCAGGUGGAUUUCACUGCCAUUUCAUCUCAGAAACAAGCCUUUUGUAGGAACUGAGAUGGUGGAUUUCACUGCCAAUUUCAUCCUAGAAAGAAGCCUAUUUUAUGUUUCAUUGACCAAACCCAAAAUAAACAUACCUAUCAUUUUUAGUAAACUCUAAAUAGCAAAUAUGCAUAUCUUUGUGAAACAGAUGAGUGCAUAGUUCUAUAAGAGCCCGCAACUAGUAUUAUGAAGGUGCCUUUGUAUUGUGAAAUUGUUAAAAUAAGUUUGGGUUUCUUUGAAUUUGUUUGUUUUGGGGACUAGUUUGAUUACUUUAUUUGUUAUGAAGAGGGAAGAAAUGUUAUAACUGGUUCAGUGGGGUAAGAUGUAAGAACUCAUUUGGAACAAAUGCAAACACACAGACUUUUCCCAUGAUUAGACCGAGUAACUCAUGCGAAGGUGGCAGCAGAGUUAGAGCUGCAGUUGUUUCUGGGGAUGAGCAUGCUAAAUUAUCAGGAGCAUUUCAGACACUGGCAACAGAUAUGCUUCCUACAAUUGAUGAUUUCUGUAUGCAUGUUGGGACAUAGAAUGUUCUAGAAUUCUAUGUAUAGAAUGUCUUGUAUUCUAAGUUAAGUGUACGUACACGGAAAGUCUUCUUAGAGUCUGUAUAUAUAUCUGUUCUCCUUG